GGGGAGGUGGGUCAGUGGUAGAACUCCUGCCUUCCAUGCAGGAGACCCGGGUUCAAUUCCCACCCAACGCA
rnacentral:tRNA from 1 species